rnacentral:rRNA from 1 species
UACGAAGGGGGCUAGCGUUGUCCGGAAUCACUGGGCGUAAAGCGCACGUAGGCGGCUCUUUAAGUCAGGGGUGAAAUCCUGGAGCUCAACUCCAGAACUGCCCUUGAUACUGAGGAGCUUGAGUCCGGGAGAGGUGAGUGGAACUGCGAGUGUAGAGGUGAAAUUCGUAGAUAUUAGGAAGAACACCAGUGGCGAAGGCGGCUCACUGGCCCGGUACUGACGCUGAGGCGCGAAAGCGUGGGGAGCAAACAGG